rnacentral:rRNA from 1 species
UACGUAGGGGGCAAGCGUUAUCCGGAAUUACUGGGUGUAAAGGGUGAGUAGGCGGCAUGGUAAGUUAGAUGUGAAAGCCCAAGGCUUAACUUUGGGAUUGCAUUUAAAACUACUAAGCUAGAGUACAGGAGAGGUAAGCGGAAUUCCUAGUGUAGCGGUGAAAUGCGUAGAUAUUAGGAAGAACACCGGUGGCGAAGGCGGCUUACUGGACUGAAACUGACGCUGAGGCACGAAAGCGUGGGGAGCAAACAGG